rnacentral:rRNA from 1 species
UAGGGAAUCUUCGGCAAUGGACGAAAGUCUGACCGAGCAACGCCGCGUGAGUGAAGAAGGUUUUCGGAUCGUAAAACUCUGUUGUUAGAGAAGAACAAGGACGUUAGUAACUGAACGUCCCCUGACGGUAUCUAACCAGAAAGCCACGGCUAACUACGUGCCAGCAGCCGCGGUAAUACGUAGGUGGCAAGCGUUGUCCGGAUUUAUUGGGCGUAAAGCGAGCGCAGGCGGUUUCUUAAGUCUGAUGUGAAAGCCCCCGGCUCAACCGGGGAGGGUCAUUGGAAACUGGGAGACUUGAGUGCAGAAGGGGGGAGUGGAAUUCCAUGUGUAGCGGUGAAAUGCGUAGAUAUAUGGAGGAACACCAGUGGCGAAGGCGGCUCUCUGGUCUGUAACUGACGCGGAGGCUAGAAAGCGUGGGGAGCAAACAGG